rnacentral:tRNA from 2 species
GCGCCUGUAGCUCAAGUGGAUAGAGCGCCAGUCUUCGAAACUGUCGGUUGGGGGUUCGAGUCCCUCCAGGCGCA